AUAGUUAUUUAUGCAACCGAGUGAUAAAUGCUUUUUUAGGCACUAGAUGUGUGGAUUGUCACUCGAGACCGCAAGGCAAUACACAUCGUGUGCCUAAAAAAUCAUUUAUCACCGAGUUGUAUACAACGUUUUUCGCAAUAAAGACAACGGAAGGUCCUACUUUUUGUCACUUGUUGCGAAAAAAUUCUUUUAUUUAGAA